rnacentral:misc_RNA from 1 species
CCGAGUUUACAACUCCCAAACCCCUGUGAACAUACCUCUCGUUGCCUCGGCGGGACUCGCCCCCGGCGCCCCUCGGGCCCCGGAUCCAGGCGCCCGCCGGAGGACCCAAACUCUUGUCUCUUGCGAGUAGCUUCUGAGUGACACAAGCAAAUUAAAUCA